UACGUAGGGGGCGAGCGUUGUCCGGAAUCAUUGGGCGUAAAGCGCGUGUAGGCGGUCCGGUAAGUCCGCUGUGAAAGUCGGGGGCUCAACCCUCGGAUGCCGGUGGAUACUGUCGGGCUUGAGUACGGAAGAGGCGAGUGGAAUUCCUGGUGUAGCGGUGAAAUGCGCAGAUAUCAGGAGGAACACCAAUUGCGAAGGCAGCUCGCUGGGACGUUACUGACGCUGAGACGCGAAAGCGUGGGGAGCAAACGGG
rnacentral:rRNA from 1 species